UACGGAGGAUCCGAGCGUUAUCCGGAUUUAUUGGGUUUAAAGGGUGCGUAGGCGGUUUGAUAAGUUAGAGGUGAAAUGUCGGGGCUCAACCCCGAAACUGCCUCUAAUACUGUUGGACUAGAGAAUAGUUGCGGUAGGCGGAAUGUAAGGUGUAGCGGUGAAAUGCUUAGAGAUCAUACAGAACACCGAUUGCGAAGGCAGCUUACCAAACUAUAUCUGACGUUGAGGCACGAAAGCGUGGGUAGCAAACAGG
rnacentral:rRNA from 1 species